rnacentral:rRNA from 1 species
UACGUAGGCUGCAAGCGUUAUCCGGAAUUAUUGGGCGUAAAGCGUACGCAGGCGGUUUGUUAAGUUGGAUGUCAAAACUAUGAGCUCAACUCAUAGCAGGUAUCCAAUACUGGCAAGCUGGAGAUAGGCAGAGGUAAGUGGAAUUCUGUAUGUAGGGGUAAUAUCCGUAGAUAUACAGAGGAACACCAAAAGCGAAGGCAGCUUACUGGGCCUUUUCUGACGCUCAUGUACGAAAGCGUGGGGAGCAAACGGGAUUAGAAACCCCGGUAGUCC